rnacentral:lncRNA from 1 species
UCAUCGGGCUCAAAAACAUCACAGACCCGGACUCUGCCUUUCCCUCUAACCACCAUGAAUGUUGUUUCUUCUCUCAUGAUUUAUCAAAAUCUCCACUGCAUGCGGUGCUUCCUCUAUCCAAAAUCGAGGAUGCUCGUAGCGCCCUCCUUCUUUCGCCAUCGUAUGAGCCGCUUUGUUGGCCUCCCUAGAGUUCAGUUUACGUAUUAUGGUUAACGCAUCCCCUUCAAUGCAAACUUCCUGGAACCCCAUAUCUUCGGCCAAAAUAACGGCUUGCAGACACGCCCUCGCCUCAGCCAUCACUGGAUCUGCAAUAUUUUCCCAUGGGUAGGUACACGCUGCCAUUAUUAGACCUUCUUUGUUUCGUGCUAUGAUCCCUGAGAUAGAACAUUUUGUUAUUUGAUUAAAGGAAGAGUCAAAUUGAUUUUUAUGGUGUCAUUAACCGGUGGUUUCCAAACUAAAUGUCCAACGUCACAUGAGUUCUUUAAUCUCUCCCUCUCAACAUUUGUCUCUGCAUAGUAGGCCUUAAUAAAUCCCACAACUUCAGUAACUGACUCUCGUACACCAUCAUGAUAAAGCUUAUUACGAUUAUGCCAGAUUGCCCAAAAUGUAAUAGCUCUAAUUUUACAUGCAUCUAGGCUUUGGUUUUCAAAUUCUGUUGCUAACCACUUCUUCCAACUGUUCUCUCUGUUGCAUGUUGGGACUGCCAUUCCCAAACCCCGCAAGACUUGCUACGUGAAUAAGCAACGUCUAAAAAGGUGAUCCGCCGAUUCCUCUUCAGUUUGAUACAUCGGACACCAAGUGUUGACAACCAAAUUCCGGGCUUUUAGAUUAUGUAGAGUAGGUAGAAAGUCAUUAGCAAUUCUCCAUAGAAAAAUUCGUAUUUUGCUUGGAAUUUUGAGCUCCCAAAGCCUUGUAAAGAAAGUAGUAGGGAUUUCAUUUUUUAAUCUUGUACCCCCCUCUGUAAUGAGCCAUCUAUAGCCACUUUUAGCUGUAUAUAUCCCAGUAUUGUCGCCACGCCAUAUUGGAACGUCCUGAAUCCUGUUGCUCACCAACGGAAUUGAAAUUAUAUGCUGCAGUUUCUCUUCUCCAAACACCGUGCGAAUAAUUCCUUGUUUCCAGGUCCAGG